rnacentral:rRNA from 1 species
GAGUUUGAUCUUGGCUCAGGAUGAACGCUGGCGGCGUGCCUAACACAUGCAAGUCGGGCGAAGCGCUUGUUUUGAUUCUUCGGAUGAAGAAGCUUGUGACUGAGCGGCCGACGGGUGAGUAACACGUAGGCAACCUGCCUCACACAGGGGGAUAACAGUUAGAAAUGACUGCUAAUACCGCAUAAGCGCACAGGGCCGCAUGGCCUGGUGUGAAAAGCUCCGGCGGUGUGAGAUGGACCCUGCGUCUGAUUAGCCAGUUGGCGGGUAACGCCCA